GUGCGCGCGGCGGCCGCGCUGCGCCGCGACAUGGCGGGCUCGGACCGCGGCAACGAGCGGCUGAACGGCGGCUUCAACGCGCGGCUGAUGGCCGUGAGUGCCGGCCUGUCACCGUCUGUNGUAUAACCCAGUAUAUCCCAAUACAUCCCAGUAUAUCCCAGUAUAUCCCAGUCCACCCUAGUAUAACCCAGUAUAACCCAGUAUAACCCAGUAUAUCCCAGUCCACCCCAGUCCACCCAGUACACCCAGUACAUUCCAGUAUAACCCGUACAUCCCAGUACAUCCCAGUACACCCCAGUAUAACCAGUAUAACCCAGUAUAGCCAGUCCACCCCAGUACAUCCCAGUCCACCCCAGUACAUCCCAGUCCAUCCCAGUAUAACCCAGUAUACCCAGUCCAUCCCAGUACACCCCAGUAUAUCCCAGUACAUCCCAGUAUAACCCGUACAUCCCAGUCCACCCAGUCCACCCCAGUACACACAGUCCACCCCAGUAUUCCCAGUCCAUCCCAGUCCAUCCCAGUCCACCCAGUCCACCCCAGUCCACCCCAGUCCAUCCCAGUCCACCCCAGUCCAUCCUAGUCCACCCAGUCCAUCCCAGUCCACCCCAGUCCAUCCUAGUCCACCCCAGUAUUCCCAGUACGCCCAGUCCAUCCCAGUCCACCCAGUCCAUCCCAGUCCAUCCCAGUCCACCCCAGUAUUCCCAGUAUUCCCAGUCCAUCCCAGUCCACCCCAGUCCAUCCCAGUCCACCCCAGCAUUCCCAGUCCACCCCAGUAUUCCCAGUCCAUCCCAGUCCACCCCAGUCCAUCCCAGUAUUUCCAGUAUUCCCAGUCCAUCCCAGUCCAUCCCAGUCCACCCCAGUAUUCCCAGUAUUCCCAGUAUUCCCAGUUCAUCCCAGUCCAUCCCAGUAUUCCCAGUAUUCCCAGUAUUCCCAGUCCAUCCCAGUCCAUCCCAGUCCACCCCAGUCCAUCCCAGUAUUCCCAGUAUUCCCAGUCCAUCCCAGUCCAUCCCAGUCCACCCCAGUCCACCCCAGUAUUCCCAGUAUUCCCAGUAUUCCCAGUAUUCCCAGUAUUCCCAGUCCACCCCAGUCCAUCCCAGUCCACCCCAGUCCAUCCCAGUCCACCCCAGUAUUCCCAGUAUUCCCAGUAUUCCCAGUAUUCCCAGUAUUCCCAGUCCAUCCCAGUAUUCCCAGUCCAUCCCAGUCCACCCCAGUAUUCCCAGUCCACCCCAGUAUUCCCAGUAUUCCCAGUAUUCCCAGUAUUCCCAGUCCACCCAGUGCAGCCCCCGCCGCCCGCAGGCGCGCGGCCUCUCGCUGCAGUGCCUCUCCUCGGCCAGAGGGGGCGUGGUGCGCGCGGCGGCCGCGCUGCGCCGCGACAUGGCGGGCUCGGACCGCGGCAACGAGCGGCUGAACGGCGGCUUCAACGCGCGGCUGAUGGCCGCCGAGGCGUCCCUGCUGUCCCCGUUCGUGUCCCCUCUGGUGUCCCCGUUCCGCCACGUCCUGCUGGGCCGGGGCGGCCACACGCUNNNNNCUGUCCCUGUCCCUCUGUCCCUGUCCCCAUCCCUGUCCCUCUGUCCCUGUCCCCGUGUCCCUGUCCCCAUCCAUGUCCCUGUCCCUGUCCCCAUCCCCAUGUCCCUGUCCCUGUCCCUCUGUCCCUGUCCCCGUGUCCCCAUCCCCGUGUCCCUGUCCUCAUCCUUGUCCCUCUGUCCCUGUUCCUGUCCCUCUGUCCCCGUCCCUGUGUCCCCAUCCCUGUGUCCCUGUCCCUCUGUCCCUGUCCCUGUCCCUGUCCCCAUCCCUGUCCCUCUGUCCCUGUCCCCAUCCCUGUCCCCAUCCCUCUGACCCUGUCCCUGCCCCCUCCCCGUGUCCCUGUCCCUGACCCCAUCCCUGUCCCUGUCCUCAUCCUCGUGUCAUUGUCCCUGUCCCCAUCCCUGUCCCUGUCCCCAUCCCCGUGUCAUUGUCCCUGUCCCCAUCCCCGUGUCAUUGUCCCUGUCCCCAUCCCCGUGUCCCCGUCCCUGUCCCUCUGUCCCUGUCCCUCUGUCCCUGUCCCCAUCCCUCUGACCCUGUCCCUGUCCCCAUCCCCGUGUCCCCGUCCCUGUCCCCAUCCCUGUCCCUCUGUCCCUGUCCCCAUCCCCGUGUCCCCUCACCCCGUCCCUGUGUCCCCAGGCCGAGGCGUCCCUGCUGUCCCCGUUCGUGUCCCCUCUGGUGUCCCCGUUCCGCCACGUCCUGCUGGGCCGGGGCGGCCACACGCUGCCGGCGCUGGUGGCCGAGCUGGGCGCGGCGGCGACGCGCGGCGACAGCGGCGACAAAAGGGGGGACAGCGGCGACAACGGCGACAAAAGGGGGGACAGCGGCGACAACGGUGACAAAAGGGGGGACAGCGGCGACAGCGGCGACAAAAGGGGGGACAGCGGCGACAGCGGCGACAGCGGCAGUGGCAGCGGCCGCCUGCGGGUGGCGCUCCUGGCCUGGACCCUGCGCGGCACCGCGGGGGCGCUGGCCGGGGACAGCGGCGACCUCGGGGACAUGGGCGGGGCCGGGGACAGCGGCGGCUGCGGCCACCUCGGCGACAUCGGCGGCGACAGCCCCGGUGGCCCUGGGGACCUCGGGGACAUUGGGGACACUGGAGACACUGGG
ensembl:lncRNA